rnacentral:misc_RNA from 1 species
CCGAGUGCGGGCCCUCUGGGUCCAACCUCCCACCCGUGUUUAUUUUACCUUGUUGCUUCGGCGGGCCCGCCGUCAGGCCGCCGGGGGCAUCCGCCCCGGGCCCGCGCCCGCCGAAGACACCCCUGAACGCUGUCUGAAGAAUGCAGUCUGAGCAAUUAGCAAAAUUAGUUA